rnacentral:rRNA from 1 species
UUCGGAAUGAAACCAGAUAUGACUUAGUGGCGGACGGGUGAGUAACACGUGAGCAACCUGCCUUUCAGAGGGGGAUAACGGCUGGAAACGGUCGCUAAUACCGCAUGACACAUAGGGGUCGCAUGGCCUUUAUGCCAAAGAUUUAUCGCUGAAAGAUGGGCUCGCGUCUGAUUAGAUAGUUGGUGGGGUAACGGCCUACCAAGUCUACGAUCAGUAGCCGGACUGAGAGGUUGAACGGCCACAUUGGGACUGAGAUACGGCCCAGACUCC